GCGCCGUCCGCGCUGCGCCCGGAGAGUCGGCGGCAUGAGGCGGCGUUAGGAGCGAACACCAGCGGACCGAGGAGACAGAAGAAGGGAAUACAACAGUCUGACUUCACAGGGACCAGGGACGACCUCCAAGGGAGCCUGGGUGCAACAGUGGAACCUCCUCCUUGAGAGCUUUUCUCCUCUGGAUGUUAUGGCUGAAAUGCUGGGCUGGAUCAGGAUGACAUAUAAAGCACAGAGCUGGAGCGAUGAUCGUCUUUUGUGAAGCGGUACAGAAACAGAUCGUCUGUGUUGAUGCAGUUUGACCCCGUGAAGCUUCGGGGUCAUUCAGAUCAGAGAUAUGCACACAGACAGUGUUUUCCCUUUAAAGCAGUGGACCAUCUGUGUCCUUGUGUGCUGUGCUUCCCUUCUGAAGACAGAAGAGAAAGCGAGGCUCACCAGUGAGGCGGGAUCACAGCCGACUGCUGCAGACUGUGAAGCCUCGGUCUCAGGUAUACGAGUCACAGAGGAAC